GACGAACGCUGGCGGCGUGCCUAAUACAUGCAAGUAGAACGCACAGUUUAUACCUUAGCUUGCUACACCAUAGACUGUGAGUUGCGAACGGGUGAGUAACGCGUAGGUAACCUGCCUGGUAGCGGGGGAUAACUAUUGGAAACGAUAGCUAAUACCGCAUAAUAUUAAUUAUUGCAUGAUAAUUAAUUGAAAGGUGCAAUUGCACCACUACCAGAUGGACCUGCGUUGUAUUAGCUAGUAGGUGAGGUAACGGCUCACCUAGGCGACGAUACAUAGCCGACCUGAGAGGGUGGUCGGCCACCCUGGGACUGAGACACGGCCCAGACUCCUACGGGAGGCAGCAGUAGGGAAACAUCGGAAAUGGACGAAAGUCUGGACGGGCAACGCCGCGUGAGUGAAGAAGGUUUUCGGAUCGGAAAGCUCGGUUGUAAGAGAAGAAAGGGUGUGAGAGUGGAAAGUUCACACUGUGACGGUAUCUGACCAGAAAGGGACGGCUAACUACGUG
rnacentral:rRNA from 1 species